UUGACAUGUCUGGAAUCCCGAAGAGAUUUGGGAGUGCUCGCAAGAGAACCGGAACACAGGUGCUGCAUGGCUGUCGUCAGCUCGUGUCGUGAGAUGUUGGGUUAAGUCCCGCAACGAGCGCAACCCUUGUCAUUAGUUGCUACAUUCAGUUGGGCACUCUAAUGAGACUGCCGGUGACAAACCGGAGGAAGUGGGGAUGACGUCAAGUCCUCAUGGCCCUUAUAGGUGGGGCUACACACGUCAUACAAUGGAUGGUACAAAGGGUCGCCAACCCGCGAGGGGGAGCCAAUCCCAUAAAGCCAUUCGUAGUCCGGAUCGCAGUCUGCAACUCGACUGCGUGAAGUCGGAAUCGCUAGUAAUCGUGGAUCAGAAUGUCACGGUGAAUACGUUCCCGGGUCUU
rnacentral:rRNA from 1 species